rnacentral:rRNA from 1 species
CGAUCUAUAGCUGGUCUGAGAGGACGAUCAGCCACACUGGGACUGAGACACGGCCAUACUCCUACGGGAGGCAGCAGUGGGGAAUAUUGCACAACGGGCGCAAGCCUGAUGCAGCAAUACCGCGUGUGUGAAGAAGGCCUGCGGGUUGUAAAGCACUUUCAAUUGUGAAGAAAUGCUCAUGGCUAAUACCUGUGAGUUUUAACAUUAGCAAUACAAGAAGCACCGGCUAACUCCGUGCCAGCAGCCGCGGUAAUACGGAGGGCGCAAGCGUUAAUCGGAAUUACUGGGCGUAAAGCGUACGUAGGCGGUAUAUUAAGUCAGAUGUGAAAGCCCCGGGCUUAACCUGGGAACUGCAUUUGAUACUGGUAGACUAGAGUAUGGUAGAGGGGGGGUAGAAUUCAUAGUGUAGCGGUGAAAUGCGUAGAUAUUAUGAGGGAUACCAGUGGCGAAAGCGGCCCCCUGGACCAAUACUGACGCUGAGGUACGAAAGCGUGGGGAGCGAACAGGAUUAGAUACCCUGGUAGUCCACGCCGUAAACGAUGUCAACUAGCCGUUGGGACCUUGAGGUCUCAGUGGUGCAGCUAACGCGUGAAGUUGACCGCCUGGGGAGUACGGCCGCAAGGCUAAAACUCAAAUGAAUUGACGGGGGCCCGCACAAGCGGUGGAGCAUGUGGUUUAAUUCGAUGCAACGCGAAGAACCUUACCUACCCUUGACAUCAUCAGAACUUGUUAGAGAUAACUCGGUGCCUUCGGGAACUGAAUGACAGGUGCUGCAUGGCUGUCGUCAGCUCGUGUCGUGAGAUGUUGGGUUAAGUCCCGCAACGAGCGCAACCCUUAUCCUUAGUUGCCAGCACGUAAUGGUGGGAACUCUAAGGAGACUGCCGGUGAUAAACCGGAGGAAGGUGGGGAUGACGUCAAGUCAUCAUGGCCCUUAUGGGUAGGGCUACACACGUGCUACAAUGGCCAGUACAGAGGGCAGCCAACUCGCGAGAGUGAGCAAAUCCCAGAAAGCUGGUCGUAGUCCGGAUUGGAGUCUGCAACUCGACUCCAUGAAGUUGGAAUCGCUAGUAAUCGCGAAUCAGAAUGUCGCGGUGAAUACGUUCCCGGGCCUUGUACACACCGCCCGUCACACCAUGGGAGUGGGCUGCAAAGGAAGUGGGUAGUUUAACCUUCGGGAGAACGCUCACCACUUUGUGGUUCAUGACUGGGGUGAAGUCGAAACAAGGUA